rnacentral:rRNA from 1 species
GUGAGUGGCGGACGGGUGAGUAACACGUGGGUAACCUGCCCAUUAGAGGGGGAUAACACUUGGAAACAGGUGCUAAUACCGCAUAAUUGUUUUAGCCGCAUGGCUGAGGUAUGAAAGACGCUUUCGGGUGUCACUAAUGGAUGGACCCGCGCUGCAUUAGUUAGUUGGUGAGGUAAUGGCUCACCAAGACCGUGAUGCAUAGCCGACCUGAGAGGGUGAUCGGCCACACUGGGACUGAGACACGGCCCAGACUCCUACGGGAGGCAGCAGUAGGGAAUCUUCGGCAAUGGACGAAAGUCUGACCGAGCAACGCCGCGUGAGUGAAGAAGGUUUUCGGAUCGUAAAACUCUGUUGUUAGAGAAGAACAAGUGGGAGAGUAACUGUUCCCACCUUGACGGUAUCUAACCAGAAAGCCACGGCUAACUACGUGCCAGCAGCCGCGGUAAUACGUAGGUGGCAAGCGUUGUCCGGAUUUAUUGGGCGUAAAGCGAGCGCAGGUGGUUCUUUAAGUCUGAUGUGAAAGCCCCCGGCUCAACCGGGGAGGGUCAUUGGAAACUGGGGAACUUGAGUGCAGAAGAGGAGAGUGGAAUUCCAUGUGUAGCGGUGAAAUGCGUAGAUAUAUGGAGG